UUCUGCACUGGGGCCUGGGAGCAGCCUGGAAGCUGCUGCCAUCAUUUUCCAGCCCUUUGUGCUAUUCUGCAUCCUAACCAUGCCAAUCUGCUUCUUGAUGAAAAGAUGUGAGCAAGAAAAUGAGGAAUUUCUCCCUUUUCAUGACUUUUCCCAAGUCCCUAUUUUACAGCUUGCCAACUCCCUUGCUGUAUAUCUGCAUGCAGGUUCCUCUCUUAUAUUUCACUUUACAUGGUUAAUUGUGUUUGUAUUCUCCACAGGGUUCCUGGCAUUUACAGCACACUGUGAGGUCACUGAUUUGCCACUGUGUUUUCAGAAACCUGCCUCACCAUCCCCAUGUAAAACUGAAAACGAGAGGAAAGUGAGAAAGCAGCAGUUUGCAGGAACCUCAGGAUGAAAGGAUUUGGAGUUGCUGCAUGAAAUGACAUGAAAUCCACCAAGUUCCUGUUCACAUAAAAAAAACCAAACCACGGACAGAGGGCACUUCAUCUUUCUGGCAGUGUCAGCAGGUUGGGCAAGGUUUAAGCAGGUAAGAGAGUGGAACAGACUCUGUGGCUGCCCCUGCUAGAACUGACUUGAACAGAAUUAUGAUUCUUUCUGAACAAACUGCAGCCCUGUCCUGUCCCCUCCAUGCCCACCCUCUCCAUCAGGCCUGCAGCUCAUUAGUGGGGCAGCACAGGAUCCCUGCAUUGUCAACUGCAUUUGGCACCUUGGAACCAGAAAAUGCCUUCAUUCAGCUCUGUCAGCCCAGUGCCCAGCUAGCAAGUCAGUCAAGAAAAGGAGUGCAAUGGGUGCUUUUGGAAACAGUGUGGGGUGAGAGAAGGCAGGAAGUUAAUGAGUACUGAACACUGAAUGCAACUGAAGAAGGAAGUUGUUCACAGGUCUACAACUGAUAUCUGGGACACAUUUUAGAAUCUUCAACAAAAACUGCUAGGAGUUUGGUAAAUCCUGACAUUUAAAUAAAUUCUUGUAUUUUAACUAAGACCUUCCUCCCAUGCUCUGAGUCCUCGGCACACCUCAGGCACUGCAGCACCUUCCUGUCAGGGCUCUCUGGUGCUUG